GGGCUGUAGCUCAGUGGAAGAGAAUCUGUUUUGCAUGCAGGAGGACCCAGGGUCAAUUCCUGGCAUGUCCA